rnacentral:rRNA from 2 species
UACGAAGGGUCCAAGCGUUGUUCGGAAUCAUUGGGCGUAAAGCGCGCGCAGGCGGAUUAAUAAGUCAGGUGUGAAAUCUCGGAGCUCAACUCCGAAACUGCGCCUGAAACUAUUAGUCUAGAAUGUCGGAGGGGGCAGGGGAAUUUCACGUGUAGGGGUAAAAUCCGUAGAGAUGUGAAGGAACACCGGGGGCGAAGGCGCCUGCCUGGACGACUAUUGACGCUGAGGCGCGAAAGCGUGGGGAGCAAACAGG